rnacentral:rRNA from 1 species
UACGUAGGGUGCGAGCGUUGUCCGGAAUUACUGGGCGUAAAGAGCUCGUAGGUGGUUUGUCGCGUUGUUCGUGAAAACUCACAGCUCAACUGUGGGCGUGCGGGCGAUACGGGCAGACUGGAGUACUGCAGGGGAGACUGGAAGUUCCUGGUGUAGCGGUGGAAUGCGCAGAUAUCAGGAGGAACACCGGUGGCGAAGGCGGGUCUCUGGGCAGUAACUGACGCUGAGGAGCGAAAGCGUGGGGAGCGAACAGG